ACCCCUGUGACAUACCACUUGUUGCCUCGGCGGAUCAGCCCGCUCCCGGUAAAACGGGACGGCCCGCCAGAGGACCGCUAAACUCUGUUUCUAUAUGUAACUUCUGAGUAAAACCAUAAAUAAAUCAAAACUUUCAACAACGGAUCUCUUGGUUCUGGCAUCGAUGAAGAACGCAGCAAAAUGCGAUAAGUAAUGUGAAUUGCAGAAUUCAGUGAAUCAUCGAAUCUUUGAACGCACAUUGCGCCCGCCAGUAUUCUGGCGGGCAUGCCUGUUCGAGCGUCAUUUCAACCCUCAAGCACAGCUUGGUGUUGGGACUCGCGUUAAUUCGCGUUCCCCAAAUUGAUUGGCGGUCACGUCGAGCUUCCAUAGCGUAGUAGUAAAACCCUCGUUACUGGUAAUCGUCGCGGCCACGCCGUUAAACCCCAACUUCUGAAUGUUGACCUCGGAUCAGGUAGGAAUACCCGCUGAACUUAAG
rnacentral:rRNA from 1 species